GGUAGGGUCUGCCAGCCUGGGGGGAGGUGGGUGAGGGGACCUUGUAAACACAAAGUGGCCUCAGCUCCUGAACACCUGGAGGGUUUGCUCCCGUUCUCUUGCAAGGCGGCAAGUGGGAGGCAGACGCACAAGGUCCAAGCCCAAUCCAGACCUGCCCCUGAGGGCCCCGGAGCCCGAGGCGCCACCCCAACUCGCCCCCUUCUCCCAGCAAGGCAGGAGGUGGAUUCAGGCCCCUUUCCACUUCUGCUUCCCAUUCUGCUGGGUCUUCACUAUGCAGAGCCCCCGCUGGCCUGACAGAGAUCCUCCCAGAGCUCACUGUGGUCUGAGCUUCUUCCUGGCUGAUCCUUGUUCCUUCUCUCCAUUCACAGAGAUCAGACCUGCAUCUUGUUCUGGAAGCUUCCAUGGCCUUCCCUUUAUCUUUCACAGACAUGACUCCCAAUGGAUGUCUUUGGCUUCUAGCUCCUUCUUGGCGUACUUCCUGAAGGACCUGACCACCACACAGCCCCAGGGUGACUCUUGGGCAGCUUUGCCGUCUGUCUUUGACUUCUCUCCCCCAUGAACGUGUGUGCUCCGGAAGACCCAGGUCAAGUUCUUCUCAUCUGGGAUCCUGUUGGGCCCGAGUGCACUGUAGCAGGUAUAUGCUUCACGAACAUUGGUUGUUUAGCUGUGAGCAUGUGCAGCCAUCUAGAGACUGGAAGCUGUGUUCCGGAGGCGGGGGAGAGGGGCCACCGAGAAAGGGGUCGGCUGAGGCGGGACAGGUUUGGAUGAACCGAAAUAAAGCGUCAGUCUUGUGAAAGGU